UUGUUGCCCCCAUCACAGUGGGCUUUGGGCCCCCGGGCCUACCCUUGGUUCUAAUGAUCAGGGAGGUCCUCCCUUACGUGCCCACUGAACUUCCAGUCUCAGGCUGACUCACACAGGACACACCGUGAAAAGCUGGAGAGGAAAGGGCCCAAGUGACACAGUCGCCCGAUGGCUCUCAGGGACCUGAAGGCCGGCAAAGGCGGAACAGGUGUCCACUAAGCCUGGAGCGUGGCCUCAAACCCACCGUGCCAACACACCCUGACUUCAGCUAUAGUCCUGUGCAUAUCCAAAGGUCUGAAGGAAACUUGUGGGUCCCCAGUGAGGACGGAUGAGACCAGAAGUCCCAAUGAGCCCAGUGUGCCUUGUAUCCCUGGGGGAACCAGACCCGAUUGGACACGGACUGGAUUUUCGUGUGUAGGGGGCGGAGGAAAGGGAGGACAUUAAAUCUUUAAGUGGUUAAAGACACAAAACCCACAGCAAUGAUUUCUAAUGAACAGAAAAA
rnacentral:lncRNA from 1 species